rnacentral:misc_RNA from 1 species
AAGGUAUCCCUUCCUUCAUUGUGAAACUUCUAAAUGGGUUAAAGGCUAGUUUUGUUACACAAGCUUUACUAAAUUAGGCAAAUUGGAGGCAAUUUCAUGUCAUUCUGCUAUAUUUUUAAAACUUGCUCCUGCACUAGUAUCAUUGUGUAGAUGAGUCUCUUUUAGUUACUAUUCACUAUGUCAUUAAACUUAAUUCAACUAAACCUUAAUCCUAAAUUAGUUGGGAUAGGUUAUGUGGAUCCUUUUUCUCCAUUCUACCCAACUUAGGCUAGCUCUUUACAAAAAUGUGGUGCCACUAUAUCCUUUUAAUACUUCCACCCAUGUCAUUCUAGGUCUGUC